GACCUCAAAUCAGGUAGGACUACCCGCUGAACUUAAGCAUAUCA
rnacentral:rRNA from 15 species